rnacentral:lncRNA from 1 species
UUAUAGUUGGGGCAACGAGGAGAGGUAUGUCCCUCACAGCCGCAAAUAUAACAUAUCUUCUUCCCUUUCUUCUUAUCAAGUUUUCCUAAGUCAGGAUCUUCUAUCUUUCUUUUUCCCUUACGUCUCAGAGCUGCACACGAUGUGUUGUUUGAGGCUCACAUCUGGUCAAUUUGGAUCUUAAGCUUAUCCUGUUCUUCCAUUUUUUUCUAUUAAUGCCGACGUAGCAACUUUUCUUUCUCCCACAACCUUUCUAGUGAAGAAACCUUGUUCUCCAGAUCCUGCACUUUCGUUGAUGCUUGAGCAGCUUCAACUUUAGUGUCUGAAUCACUAUCUGUCAAAUCCACCAUUUCUGGAUUUGAUACUACGUUUUCCACUAUAGCCACCUCGUUCGAUUUGGGUUCUUGGUAAGCUUCUAUUUCAGCUGUUGGCCUCGAUAUUAGCUCGGGGGUAUGGAUCUGAUCCUUCUUAUUCCACAUAUCUUUUCCACCAGACAUCUACAUACAUAAGUUACCCUGAUUAGCAUGUAGUAUAUAUACACAGCAAUCAAGAGUUCUAUAUACGUUGUCUCUUAUUUUGUUUGACAAAGAAUUUAUUCAAUCCAUCUCUAUAAACACAUCAACGCCUAUCUUUCUCUGCCGAAAGGCAGCUCCAUCCACUUUGUGUCGAAUCGCAUAAAGGUGAUGUCUAAAGCCUGCUCCAAGGUAUAUAUCCUGGUGUCUUUGGCUUCUAUCUCAACCUUCAACUGUCCUAUCUGUAUCUCCCUCUGUUCCAACCUCCCUCGUAACUCUGCUAACUCCAUCUGUGCUCGGUGAGCAGCGUCCUUGUACUGCUGGAAAUCUUGAGAGUACGAUUUUGUGCCUCCGCUUGCUCGACUCUAACCUUUAAGUCAUCGUUCCUAACUAUCAAAUCUCUUAUCAUCUUACUGUCUGUGUACUCCUCGCUAGAGUCCAUCGUCUCUUGGGUCAAGGAAUUACUACUUUGACUUUCGUCAUCCAUCCUAUGACCACAAUAAACGAGACAACAUCAUUAUUGAAAUAAAAUAUAUUCAUCAUUAAAAUGAAGUAAUAUUUUAUUUAGUACCACUAAAACUCGAUGAAUCUCUUCAACUCAUCAUAUCCUAUAACUUCUCACCAAAGUACUUCGUCUC